rnacentral:rRNA from 1 species
GAUGAACGCUGGCAGCGUGCCUAAUACAUGCAAGUCGAGCGAAUGGAUUAAGAGCUUGCUCUUAUGAAGUUAGCGGCGGACGGGUGAGUAACACGUGGGUAACCUGCCCAUAAGACUGGGAUAACUCCGGGAAACCGGGGCUAAUACCGGAUAACAUUUUGAACCGCAUGGUUCGAAAUUGAAAGGCGGCUUCGGCUGUCACUUAUGGAUGGACCCGCGUCGCAUUAGCUAGUUGGGGAGGUAACGGCUCACCAAGGCAACGAUGCGUAGCCGACCUGAGAGGGUGAUCGGCCACACUGGGACUGAGACACGGCCCAGACUCCUACGGGAGGCAGCAGUAGGGAAUCUUCCGCAAUGGACGAAAGUCUGACGGAGCAACGCCGCGUGAGUGAUGAAGGCUUUCGGGUCGUAAAACUCUGUUGUUAGGGGAGAACAAGUGCUAGUUGAAUAAGCUGGCACCUUGACGGUACCUAACCAGAAAGCCACGGCUAACUACGUGCCAGCCGCCGCCGUAA